rnacentral:lncRNA from 1 species
GUUCAGAUUCGAGUUUAGGUUCGGGUUCAAGUUCAUUGGGUUGGGUUCAAGAUCACCUCUUGUCAAAUAUAACCGCUAGUUACUAGACAGUUUAGGUGGUAAGCUUUACCAUGGGCAUGAGAUAUGAAGCUAGGGUAGGAUAGCAAGUGAUCCAUACCAUCCAUUGUUGAGAAAUUUGUAACUUAUAUAGGAGUCUAUUAUCCCACAUUGUAUAGCCA